ACCCCUAGCAGCCGUCACCCUUUUGUGCCUUGCCCCAAAAGAUGAGAGGAAGAAAAAAGAAGAGAAGAGAGGGGAGAUGAGGGCAUACCGUCGCUCAUCAUCGUCGUUCCUCUCCAAGAAUUGGUUGGAUUUCCUUUCCUCUCUCUCUUUUCUCCACUUGAUGAAUGCUUUCUCUUGUUUUGGAUGAGUUUUAGGCCCUGCAAUUAGUUUUUUUGGUUGGAUUAGAUGGGAGAUUAGAUUUUGAUCUCGAAAUUAGUUUCUGCAGGAUGGCAGAUUCAACAGUUUCUGUUCAUGCCAGUUUUUCGUGAUCUUAUUGGCCUCAAAAAAAUAAAACGUCUGUCUAUGAGUCGUAGAUAAUUUGUAUAUCUUUCCGUGGCCGCGAAGAACACCUCAAUCGGACAUCAGAUCAGAAAGUUAUUGCAGUUUGAUUAUAGCAGUUUUUCAGUCUUAUAAUUCUGUGCAGAAUCUGUUCUCUUAAGAUUUAGGCAAUUUUAUCUACAGAAUUAAACUUUAGGAUUGUAAAAGAAGUUGUAGACAAUUUUAUAAGCUUUCCAGAUUGUUAAAGAGCGCAUUCAUAUGAAUUAUGAAACUCCAGUUAUGUUUGUUUUACUGUGUCUGUUCCUGUUUGCCUGACAAAAAUGAGCGGGUCUGUUCACUGGUGGGUUUCAUAUAGUAAAUAGCCGAAUUGGCUGUUCCAACUAUGGAGACAUUUGUAGAGGGAUAAAAGUUCUUACUGCCAGCAGAAUUUCAUAAUUUUUGGUUGAGUAGUUUGGUAGAUAUUGAAUUUUGAAGUUAACUAUGUUGCUGUCUGAAACAGAUUCAGACAUUUAUCUUAUCAGAUGUUUUAGAACUUAUAGAUGGCAGAAUUUAAUUAUCCAUUGAAUACUGAAGUUGUAGAGUAUUUUGUGUAUACACUCAUAGAGUAUUUGUUUAAUAUCAUCACUGUUAUAAUUUUAAAGAUACAAAAUUAACAAACAGUGCUGUUGUUGUUUGGCAUGUGGUUCAGGGUGGGAGUCUUUCCACCGGGUCUUGGUUUCAAGUGUAGGAGUGAUUUGUUGAUUGUUGGCAAAUGUUUGUGAAAUAUUUGUACUAAGUUUUAUGCCCGCUAGCAGGUGGCUACACUCCGGAUCAUGCCUAGUACAUCUUUCUUCCUCGAUGAAGGCAAGUGAAUGUAGCAGUGGUUUCUACCGUUUUGACUUGUUGUUUUUUUAUCGCCUACACUCUAAUAUUCAGAAUUAUGGAAUUCUUUCAUAAUUGAACUCUAUGGUGAUGCUUUACUUGAUUGUAUUAUACUGAUGCUCAAUCAUAUAUUGAUGAUGAUUAUGGUUCGAGUAUGACCCAUGAGAUUAAUUUACACCCGUGAAGGCAGAUAAAGUAUUAUUUGAGGUUUGUAUCGUAUCUGAAGGCAGAUGAAGUAUUAUUUGAGGUUUGUUUUGUAUCUGAAGGAAGUGAAGUGUAUUGAUAAAUGCAGCAUGCCAUAUGCAUUACAUGAUUCAUUUGCAUCUGAAGUUUGGUCGUGACCUAUGGUCCGACCGUACCGGUACAACUUAGCAUCGUACGUUGCCCGAGGAGGGGUACGAUGCGGCUUCAUACCCUUAGAGGUAUGAAGGCAGAGGACAUAUGCAUUGCAUUUAUAUGCAUUCAUUGAAGUGAUAUUAGCAGAUGAUGUGGUUUUAUACUCUCAGAGGUAUGAGGGCAGAUGACCUACACAUUGCAUUCCUAUGCAUACAUUGAAGUGAUAUCUGCAGGUAUUGUUGACGCAGGGAAGGGUUAUACAACCUAUUGUGGUUGUUCGAGGAAAUGAGAUGGUAUUGGUUAUAUUAGGACUAUUGAGUUCUAUAUCUACAAGUAUUUCUGAUCUCAAUUGUGAUUCCUUUAAAAUGUUGUUUAAUUCAAUUUGUGGUUUAAAUAUCUCAUCAAAACAAUUUGCUUGCUGAGAUGUAUCAUCUCACUCUUGCAUUACUCAAUGUAGGUACUUGAUUCAUGUUGGGAAUGAGGGAAGUAGCAGCACGUUCACCUUCACUAUUAUAAUAACGAUGCCCAGUUGCAGCCAUGAUUUAAUUAGAAACUCGAUGACAAAUGAUGUUUGUUUUUUCCUAGUCGUGUGCACUGGUUAAUUCAGUUCAUGUCGUUAUGUUUAACUUUCCUUUGCUAGCAGAUUAAUAAUGCUUAGUAUGUUUUUUUCAUGAUAUAUGUUUAUACACUGUUGCCCCUCGUUUAUGCAAUCUUUCAAAAGAGAUGCUGCCGAAAUUUUAUAUAUGGAUGUCAGAUGUGUAGUUCAGUAGCAUUCCGGGGUGUUUGUGGACCCCGGGGUGUUACAGUUGGUAUCAAAGCAUAGGCUUUAGAUUCUUGGCAAUUUGAAGAUAAAUUUGACACACUUGCACAUAUAGGAAGGGUAUGAGUUCAAAUAUCUUUGAUAUAUAUUAGUGUCUUUGAAGUGCAUAUGACAAUAAUUUCACCCAUCUCUAUUCCUUUACGGUGAUGUGGUAUGUUGUUUAUGACUUAAUGCCUAAUAUGAUUUAUCUCUAAAUCUUUAUAUUGUUUUAUUAAUGCGAUUGAUAUCGCUGGUCUUUGGUAAGAUUGAAGUUGUUAUUAUGCUUGUGAUAUACAAGUAUGCCUAUGUUGAUUUCAUCAUGUUUUUCAUGGUUGAGUUUUAUUGCAAUAAUAUUGUUAUAUAUGCUUGAUUGAGGAUGUUCCUAAGAGGAGUGUGAAUUGCGUGUUUUGGGUUACAAGGUAACCAUCAAUUUGAAUUAAAGUUGUUGAGUGGUUGGUGGAUAGUUCCAACUAUCUUUGCAAAGAAUGAUUGUUUAUGUCGAGAAACCAGUUCUGAAAGAAAUGAAUAUUGGUACUUUUAUAUGAAUUUUGGGGAAGUCUUUACAUAGCUAGAAUGGCUUACAUGUCUCUCUUCUAUUGUGUGUUUUAGUAGCAUUCCGGGGUGUUUGUGGACCCCGGGGUGUUACAGUUGGAGGUGGUUUAAAGUGGUUGCAUGUUAGUCAUGCUAGUUGUAGAAUAAAUCUUUGUUUUUCUUGAUCUAUUGAUUAUGUAUUAAUACGUUGAGGAUCAGAUGGUUCUCUCCCUGAUGCAUGCUGGUGGAUCCAUUGUUGGACCACCUAUCUAUUGGUUUGAAUGAAGUCAUUGCCUAGCCUAGAGUUGGUUGUGUGUGGUUAGUCACCUAUUCCUAAAUGAUGUGGUUUUUUACAUCAACUUGAGAUGUUUGUCAAAUGUGUGAAGGAUUACGGGGUUAUCAUUGACCUCGUAUGUCUAGUACUUUGAGUGCAUCGUAUGAUAGAAUGAAAUGUAAGUUUCUGAACUACAGUAGAUGAAGACUUAUAUUAUUUGUAGGUUAACCUUACUAGUUUGGUUAUUUUUCUUAGUUGAGUUGUUGGAUGAAGUAUAGCAACAUUGGUUAAGCAAGUAUUGUGUUGUUGUUGUUGUGCUAUCAAUGCUCUUUGUGGAGUUUUUGGCAUUUCUUCGAUGAAAUGUGCCGCGCAGAAUGUUAUGGGCUUCUUGUCUGCUUUAUUGCUCCAUUAGUUCUGUAGAGUUUCUCCCUUUUGUGGGGUGCAAAGAAUGUUAGAUUACAUGAUUAUCUUUUCAUGAUGGCAAGAACAGGGUUUAGGAAGAUUAGGAGUUUUGUUUCAAUAGAACUACUUGUUUUGUGGUGCUGUGAGGUGAGGUGUUUGAUCUUUUUAUACGUUCAUCUGGUGUGGAUGUUUUACCAUUGAAUUAAAAUAAAUUGUUGAAGUUGGUAAGAGUUGUGCUUAGUGCAUAUUACUCCUUCAUAAAAGAGUGUCGUUUUAAGACAUUGAUGCUGAUGUAUGGCUGCAUCCAAAUUCGAUGUUGUUAAAUCGUAGUGUUGAUCGCAUCUAUGACUUGCUUUGAGCUUCAUUGCAGGUUGUUUCAUGCUUGUUGUCAGGUUGUGUAGCUUCCUUAGACCAUUAGUCCGAGGUAGAAGUUCUUGUGUUGAUUAAUACCAAUAAUGGACCCAUGUUUUCAAUGGUGGUGCUAUUUGGGGUACCUUGGAUGUUUUGCUUGGAGUGGUCGAAUUCGAGGACGAAUUCUUUUUAAGGGGGGUAGAAUGUAACACCCUAAAAAAAUAAACCAUUUUUAUAAUCCAAAUAUGGUGUGUCCUAUGGAUGAUCGGAGGCCGUAGAUGUAUAGAUCUAAUCAAGAUGAUUCCGAUCAAUCACUAGUUUGCCUUGUUUGAUGUCCAGAUGAGUCUUUUCGAGUGCCGGUUGAUCUGAGCCAUUGGAUAUUAGGAUUGUGGAAGUUUCCUUCUAUUUAUACCUCCCUAACCCUAGAAUCCACGUCCUCCCACCCCUAGCAGCCGUCACCCUUUUGUGCCUUGCCCCAAAAGAUGAGAGGAAGAAAAAAGAAGAGAAGAGAGGGGAGAUGAGGGCAUACCGUCGCUCAUCAUCGUCGUUCCUCUCCAAGAAUUGGUUGGAUUUCCUUUCCUCUCUCUCUUUUCUCCACUUGAUGAAUGCUUUCUCUUGUUUUGGAUGAGUUUUAGGCCCUGCAAUUAGUUUUUUUGGUUGGAUUAGAUGGGAGAUUAGAUUUUGAUCUCGAAAUUAGUUUCUGCAGGAUGGCAGAUUCAACAGUUUCUGUUCAUGCCAGUUUUUCGUGAUCUUAUUGGCCUCAAAAAAAUAAAACGUCUGUCUAUGAGUCGUAGAUAAUUUGUAUAUCUUUCCGUGGCCGCGAAGAACACCUCAAUCGGACAUCAGAUCAGAAAGUUAUUGCAGUUUGAUUAUAGCAGUUUUUCAGUCUUAUAAUUCUGUGCAGAAUCUGUUCUCUUAAGAUUUAGGCAAUUUUAUCUACAGAAUUAAACUUUAGGAUUGUAAAAGAAGUUGUAGACAAUUUUAUAAGCUUUCCAGAUUGUUAAAGAGCGCAUUCAUAUGAAUUAUGAAACUCCAGUUAUGUUUGUUUUACUGUGUCUGUUCCUGUUUGCCUGACAAAAAUGAGCGGGUCUGUUCACUGGUGGGUUUCAUAUAGUAAAUAGCCGAAUUGGCUGUUCCAACUAUGGAGACAUUUGUAGAGGGAUAAAAGUUCUUACUGCCAGCAGAAUUUCAUAAUUUUUGGUUGAGUAGUUUGGUAGAUAUUGAAUUUUGAAGUUAACUAUGUUGCUGUCUGAAACAGAUUCAGACAUUUAUCUUAUCAGAUGUUUUAGAACUUAUAGAUGGCAGAAUUUAAUUAUCCAUUGAAUACUGAAGUUGUAGAGUAUUUUGUGUAUACACUCAUAGAGUAUUUGUUUAAUAUCAUCACUGUUAUAAUUUUAAAGAUACAAAAUUAACAAACAGUGCUGUUGUUGUUUGGCAUGUGGUUCAGGGUGGGAGUCUUUCCACCGGGUCUUGGUUUCAAGUGUAGGAGUGAUUUGUUGAUUGUUGGCAAAUGUUUGUGAAAUAUUUGUACUAAGUUUUAUGCCCGCUAGCAGGUGGCUACACUCCGGAUCAUGCCUAGUACAUCUUUCUUCCUCGAUGAAGGCAAGUGAAUGUAGCAGUGGUUUCUACCGUUUUGACUUGUUGUUUUUUUAUCGCCUACACUCUAAUAUUCAGAAUUAUGGAAUUCUUUCAUAAUUGAACUCUAUGGUGAUGCUUUACUUGAUUGUAUUAUACUGAUGCUCAAUCAUAUAUUGAUGAUGAUUAUGGUUCGAGUAUGACCCAUGAGAUUAAUUUACACCCGUGAAGGCAGAUAAAGUAUUAUUUGAGGUUUGUAUCGUAUCUGAAGGCAGAUGAAGUAUUAUUUGAGGUUUGUUUUGUAUCUGAAGGAAGUGAAGUGUAUUGAUAAAUGCAGCAUGCCAUAUGCAUUACAUGAUUCAUUUGCAUCUGAAGUUUGGUCGUGACCUAUGGUCCGACCGUACCGGUACAACUUAGCAUCGUACGUUGCCCGAGGAGGGGUACGAUGCGGCUUCAUACCCUUAGAGGUAUGAAGGCAGAGGACAUAUGCAUUGCAUUUAUAUGCAUUCAUUGAAGUGAUAUUAGCAGAUGAUGUGGUUUUAUACUCUCAGAGGUAUGAGGGCAGAUGACCUACACAUUGCAUUCCUAUGCAUACAUUGAAGUGAUAUCUGCAGGUAUUGUUGACGCAGGGAAGGGUUAUACAACCUAUUGUGGUUGUUCGAGGAAAUGAGAUGGUAUUGGUUAUAUUAGGACUAUUGAGUUCUAUAUCUACAAGUAUUUCUGAUCUCAAUUGUGAUUCCUUUAAAAUGUUGUUUAAUUCAAUUUGUGGUUUAAAUAUCUCAUCAAAACAAUUUGCUUGCUGAGAUGUAUCAUCUCACUCUUGCAUUACUCAAUGUAGGUACUUGAUUCAUGUUGGGAAUGAGGGAAGUAGCAGCACGUUCACCUUCACUAUUAUAAUAACGAUGCCCAGUUGCAGCCAUGAUUUAAUUAGAAACUCGAUGACAAAUGAUGUUUGUUUUUUCCUAGUCGUGUGCACUGGUUAAUUCAGUUCAUGUCGUUAUGUUUAACUUUCCUUUGCUAGCAGAUUAAUAAUGCUUAGUAUGUUUUUUUCAUGAUAUAUGUUUAUACACUGUUGCCCCUCGUUUAUGCAAUCUUU
rnacentral:lncRNA from 7 species